rnacentral:rRNA from 1 species
UGGGGAAUAUUGCACAAUGGAGGGAACUCUGAUGCAGCGACGCCGCGUGAGUGAUGAAGGAAUUUGUUUCGUAAAACUCUGUUCUAUGGGAAGAAAAGGACUGUACCAUAGGAGAAAGCUCCGGCUAAAUACGUGCCAGCAGCCGCGGUAAUACGUAUGGAGCGAGCGUUGUCCGGAAUUAUUGGGCGUAAAGGGUGCGCAGGCGGCUUUACAAGUUGGAUGUGAAAUAUUGUGGCUCAACCACAAACGUGCAUCCAAAACUGCAAAGCUUGAGUUAAGGAGAGGUAAGUGGAAUUCCUGGUGUAGCGGUGGAAUGCGUAGAUAUCAGGAGGAAUACCGGUGGCGAAGGCGACUUACUGGACUUAAACUGACGCUCAGGCACGAAAGCGUGGGGAGCAAACAGG